rnacentral:lncRNA from 1 species
ACACAAUAAAAUUAUUAUCACAAAUCAAAGCAAGAACACAUUUAAACAAAAUAAAAACCGAAAUAUCUAUGAAGUCUACCUAAAGUAAGAUACGCUUACCUGAAGACAACACAGUUCUUGACAUGGGUCUGCAGCUGUUGGCCCUCUUAACUCUUUUCACCGUAUAAACUCAAUAUCAUGAGCUAAAAUUUAUAUAUUUAUAUCAAGAUAAUGAUCUGGUGUUCAUCCCUUCAACAAGGUCAAGGUUUUACAAUUUCGGGUCAAAUUUUUGCUCUUACGCAACAUAAAGUGUACUGAUAGAGAAUAUUUAAGGUAGGGAGUAAAAGAGAGGGAAUGGAUUGUUGUUGGAUCUUGUGUUGCGAUGAUGAUGACUUCAGACCAGGUUCUCUCUUUUCUCUCUCUAAAACAAUGCGGCUUCUGUCUCUAAAACGUAGCGAUUUUGGAAGAUUAUUGAGUGACUACGUUUUAAGGUUUUAGUGGUUAGAUUACACAGAUCAUUUUUGUAAUUGGCUAAAAUCAACUAAAUUAACAAUGAACAUGUCUUGCUAGUUAACGAAAAAAGGAUUAAGGUGAAAGCAAGUCAAAUUAGGAUCAAACAUUGCUUUCAUUAGAUGAAUGGAAGUUUACAGUUUUUGGGACAUCCUGCGUUUCUGGUCACUUUCACUAUUAUAUUCUUGAUGAAUAUAUCUACAUUUUUUCUCUCAUUUUGAUUUUAUUUGGUUGGGUAAGUAAGAAUCUGUCCAGAAAUAAUUUAUGUAUUGCAGACUUUCUGAUAUCUUCUUGAAUAUUUGUCCAGAAUCUCUCCUUUUUGAUUUUAAAUAUUUAUAUAUUGUUAGAACAUAGUAGCUGGUAACGGUUUUGUGAAAAUGUCAGCACGUUGAUGAGUAGUUCGAACUGGUAGCAACUUGAAGCUCCCUUCAUUGAUCUUAUCCCUUACAAAGUGGCAAAUCUAUCUCAAUGCGUGUGGUUCGCUCAUGGAAAAUUGGAUUACUUGCGAUGUGGAUAGCAGCUUGGUUGUCGCAAAAAAUGAGCGCUGGAGAGUUGUCUGCAACCUGAAAAUCUUUCAACAAUUGAUGAAUCCACAUGAGCUCACUGGUUGUAGAGGCUAAGGCACGUUAUUCAGCUUUUGCAGAUGAUCUCAAAAUUGUGCUUUGUUUCUUAGCUUUCCAAGAGACCAUGGAAUCACCAAGGAAGACGCAAAAUCCUGUUAUAGAUUUUCUUGUAUCCAAGCAAGCACCCCAAUCAGCAUCAGCAAAUGCACGAAGUUGAAAUAAAGAGGAUGCUGAAAACAAAAUUCCCUGUCCUGGACUAGCUUUGAGAUAUUUCAGGAGCUGGUGAACGGCAUUUAAAUGUGGUUUUCUAGGCUGAGCAACAAACUGACUCAACUUAUGGACGGCAAAAGUAAUGUCUGGUAUGGAAAUAGUCAAGUACAGUAGACGACCAAUUAGUCUUCUAUAUAGUGAAGCAUCUGCAAGGAGCUCCCCCUCAAAUGGCCUUGGGAUCCAUGGGUAUAAGUGCUGGUUUACAGCCUUAAAAUCCAGUGUCUUCCAGUAAUUGCAGUGUGUAUUGUCGUUGAGAGAGGAAAAUACCCUUUUGUGAGGAUGCAAUCUCCAAACCAAGAAAAUAUUUCAAAUAGCCAAGGUCCUUCAAUUUGAAUAAGCU